rnacentral:rRNA from 1 species
GGUAAUACGAGGGGUGCAAGCGUUAAUCGGAAUUACUGGGCGUAAAGCGAGCGUAGGCGGCUGAAUAAGCUGGAUGUGAAAAACCGGGGCUCAACCUCGGCCGUGCAUUCAGAACUGUUUAGCUAGAGUCUUGUAGAGGGGGGUAGAAUUUCAGGUGUAGCGGUGAAAUGCGUAGAGAUCUGAAGGAAUACCAGUGGCGAAGGCGGCCCCCUGGACAAUGACUGACGCUGAGGUUCGAAAGCGUGGGUAGCGAACAGGAUUAGAUACCCUGGUAGUCCACGCCGUAAACGAUGUCUACUUGUUGUUUGUGUCCUUGUGACGUGAGUGACGAAGCUAACGCGCUAAGUAGACCGCCUGGGGAGUACGGCCGCAAGGUUAAAACUCAAAUGAAUUGACGGGGGCCCGCACAAGCGGUGGAGCAUGUGGUUUAAUUCGAUGCAACGCGAAGAACCUUACCAUCCCUUGACAUCCAGAGAAUUAUCUAGAGAUAGAUUUGUGCCUUCGGGAACUCUGAGACAGGUGCUGCAUGGCUGUCGUCAGCUCGUGUUGUGAAAUGUUGGGUUAAGUCCCGCAACGAGCGCAACCCCUAUCCUUAGUUGCCAGCACGUAAUGGUGGGAACUCUAAGGAGACUGCCGGUGACAAACCG